AGAGUUUGAUCAUGGCUCAGAACGAACGCUGGCGGCAGGCUUAACACAUGCAAGUCGAACGCGUGUAGCAAUACACGAGUGGCGCACGGGUGAGUAACGCGUGGAUAUCUGCCUUUUGGUUCGGAAUAACCCCGGGAAACUGGGGCUAAUACCGGAUGGUUCCUUCGGGAUAAAGAUUUAUCGCCAAAAGAUGAGUCCGCGUACGAUUAGCUAGUUGGUGAGGUAAUGGCUCACCAAGGCGACGAUCGUUAGCUGGUCUGAGAGGACGAUCAGCCACACUGGGACUGAGACACGGCCCAGACUCCUACGGGAGGCAGCAGUGGGGAAUAUUGGACAAUGGGGGCAACCCUGAUCCAGCCAUGCCGCGUGAGUGAUGAAGGCCUUCGGGUUGUAAAGCUCUUUUGGCGGGGACGAUGAUGACGGUACCCGCAGAAUAAGCCCCGGCUAACUUCGUGCCAGCAGCCGCGGUAAGACGAAGGGGGCUAGCGUUGUUCGGAAUUACUGGGCGUAAAGCGCGUGUAGGCGGUUGCCCAAGUCGGGUGUGAAAGCCUUGAGCUCAACUCAAGAAAUGCACUCGGUACUGGGUGACUAGAGGACCGGAGAGGAUAGUGGAAUUCCCAGUGUAGUGGUGAAAUACGUAGAGAUUGGGAAGAACACCAGUGGCGAAGGCGGCUAUCUGGACGGUUUCUGACGCUAAGACGCGAAAGCGUGGGGAGCAAACAGGAUUAGAUACCCUAGUAGUCC
rnacentral:rRNA from 1 species